AUACGGAGGGUGCGAGCGUUACUCGGAGUCACGGGGCGUAAAGCGUCCGUAGGCGGUCGGGUAAGUCGGGUGUGAAAGCCCCGGGCUCAACCUGGGAAGUGCACCCGAUACUGCUCGACUCGAGUGCGGGAGAGGAUGGCGGAAUUCCCGGUGUAGCGGUGAAAUGCGUAGAGAUCGGGAGGAACACCAGUGGCGAAGGCGGCCAUCUGGCCCGCAACUGACGCUGAGGGACGAAAGCGUGGGGAGCAAACAGGAUUAGAUACCCUAGUAGUCC
rnacentral:rRNA from 1 species